GCCCCCAUCGUCUAGCGGCCCAGGACACCGCCCUUUCAAGGCGGCAACACGGGUUCGAAUCCCGUUGGGGGUG
rnacentral:tRNA from 1 species